rnacentral:rRNA from 1 species
UACGUAGGUGGCAAGCGUUUGUCCGGAUUUAUUGGGUUUAAAGGGUGCGUAGGCGGCUUAUUAAGUCAGUGGUGAAAUACUCUAGCUCAACUAGAGGGGUGCCAUUGAUACUGAUGAGCUUGAGUACAGAUGAGGUAGGCGGAAUUGACGGUGUAGCGGUGAAAUGCUUAGAUAUCGUCAAGAACACCUAUAGCGAAGGCAGCUUACUAGGCUGUAACUGACGCUGAGGCACGAAAGUGUGGGGAUCAAACAGG